rnacentral:rRNA from 1 species
CCUACGGGAGGCAGCAGUGAGGAAUAUUGGUCAAUGGGCGAGAGCCUGAACCAGCCAAGUCGCGUGAGGGAGUACUGCCCUAUGGGUUGUAAACCUCUUUUGUCGGGGAGCAAAAGCCGGACGUGUCCGGCUGUGAGAGUACCCGAAGAAAAAGCAUCGGCUAACCCCGUGCCAGCAGCCGCGGUAAUACGGGGGAUGCGAGCGUUAUCCGGAUUUAUUGGGUUUAAAGGGUGCGCAGGCGGAUUUUUAAGUCAGGGGUAAAAUCGUGGGGCUCAACCCCAUCCAGCCGUUGAAACUGGGGAUCUAGAGUGGGCGAGAGGUAUGCGGAAUGCGUGGUGUAGCGGUGAAAUGCAUAGAUAUCACGCAGAACCCCGAUUGCGAAGGCAGCAUACCGGUGGACAACUGACGCUCAGGCACGAAAGCGUGGGUAUCGAACAGGAUUAGAUACCCGGGUAGUC